GCCAGCAGCCGCGGUAAUUCCAGCUCCA
rnacentral:ncRNA from 9 species